UGAGGAAUCUUCCACAAUGGGGGCAACCCUGAUGGAGCAACGCCGCGUGAAGGAUGAAGGCCCUCGGGUUGUAAACUUCUUUUAUGAGCGAAGAAUAUGACGGUAACUCAUGAAUAAGGGUCGGCUAACUACGUGCCAGCAGCCGCGGUCAUACGUAGGACCCAAGCGUUAUCCGGAGUGACUGGGCGUAAAGAGUUGCGUAGGCGGCUCAGAAAGCGAAUAGUGAAAGAUGAUGGCUCAACCAUCAAAACAUUGUUCGAACUCCUGAGCUCGAGAAUGGUAGAGGUAGUUGGAAUUUCGUGUGUAGGAGUGAAAUCCGUAGAUAUACGAAGGAACACCAAUGGCGUAGGCAGACUACUGGACCAUUUCUGACGCUGAGGCACGAAAGCGUGGGGAGCGA
rnacentral:rRNA from 1 species